rnacentral:rRNA from 1 species
GCUUUACACAUGCAAGUCGAGCGGCAGCGCGGGGGCAACCCUGGCGGCGAGCGGCGAACGGGUGAGUAAUACAUCGGAACGUGUCCCGUAGUGGGGGAUAACGCCGGGAAACCGGCGCUAAUACCGCAUAUGCUCUACGGAGGAAAGGGGGGGACCCGCAAGGGCCUCCCGCCAUGGGAGCGGCCGAUGUCCGAUUAGCUUGUUGGUGAGGUAAAGGCUCACCAAGGCGACGAUCGGUAGCUGGUCUGAGAGGAUGAUCAGCCACACUGGGACUGAGACACGGCCCAGACUCCUACGGGAGGCAGCAGUGGGGAAUUUUGGACAAUGGGGGCAACCCUGAUCCAGCCAUGCCGCGUGCGGGAAGAAGGCCUUCGGGUUGUAAACCGCUUUUGUCCGGAAAGAAAAGGCAUCCCCUAAUACGGGAUGUCCUUGACGGUACCGGAAGAAUAAGCACCGGCUAACUACGUGCCAGCAGCCGCGGUAAUACGUAGGGUGCGAGCGUUAAUCGGAAUUACUGGGCGUAAAGCGUGCGCAGGCGGUUCGCUAAGUCUGAUGUGAAAGCCCCGGGCUCAACCUGGGAACUGCAUUGGAAACUGGCGAGCUUGAGUGUGGCAGAGGGGGGUGGAAUUCCACGUGUAGCAGUGAAAUGCGUAGAGAUGUGGAGGAACACCGAUGGCGAAGGCAGCCCCCUGGGCUAACACUGACGCUCAUGCACGAAAGCGUGGGGAGC